rnacentral:rRNA from 1 species
AACGUGGAGACAGGUGGUGCAUGGCUGUCGUCAGCUCGUGUCGUGAGAUGUUGGGUUAGGUCCCGCAACGAGCGCAACCCUCACCCCUAGUUGCCACCGGGUAAAGCCGAGCACUCGAGGGGAACUGCCAGCGUUAAGCUGGAGGAAGGCGGGGAUGACGUCAAGUCAUCAUGCCCCUUACGCCCUGGGCUACACACGUGCUACAAUGGCCGGUACAAAGGGAUGCAAGACCGCGAGGUGGAGCUAACCCCAAAAAACUGGCCUAAGUUCAGAUUGCAGUCUGCAACUCGACUGCAUGAAGGAGGAAUCGCUAGUAAUCGCGCAUCAGCACGGCGCGGUGAAUACGUUCCCGGGCCUUGUACACACCGCCCGUCACACCACGAAAGCCGGCUGUACUCGAAGUCGCUGAG